GGUCCGGUGGCCUACUCGGUAGAGCAUCCGCCUUAGAAGCGGGAGGUCUCGGAUUCGGACCCCAACCGAAUCA